UACGUAGGGUGCGAGCGUUGUCCGGAAUUAUUGGGCGUAAAGAGCUUGUAGGUGGUUUGUCGCGUCUGCUGUGAAAAUCCGGGGCUCAACCCCGGACUUGCAGUGGGUACGGGCAGACUAGAGUGUGGUAGGGGAGACUGGAAUUCCUGGUGUAGCGGUGGAAUGCGCAGAUAUCAGGAGGAACACCGAUGGCGAAGGCAGGUCUCUGGGCCAUUACUGACACUGAGAAGCGAAAGCGUGGGGAGCGAACAGG
rnacentral:rRNA from 1 species